rnacentral:rRNA from 1 species
GGUUAAGCGACUAAGCGUACACGGUGGAUGCCCUGGCAGUCAGAGGCGAUGAAGGACGUGCUAAUCUGCGAUAAGCGCCGGUAAGGUGAUAUGAACCGUUAUAACCGGCGAUUUCCGAAUGGGGAAACCCAGUGUGACUCGUCACACUAUCAUUAACUGAAUCCAUAGGUUAAUGAGGCGAACCGGGGGAACUGAAACAUCUAAGUACCCCGAGGAAAAGAAAUCAACCGAGAUUCCCCCAGUAGCGGCGAGCGAACGGGGAGGAGCCCAGAGCCUGAAUCAGCAUGUGUGUUAGUGGAAGCGUCUGGAAAGGCGCGCGAUACAGGGUGACAGCCCCGUACACAAAAGCGCAUGUGCUGUGAGCUCGAUGAGUAGGGCGGGACACGUGGUAUCCUGUCUGAAUAUGGGGGGACCAUCCUCCAAGGCUAAAUACUCCUGACUGACCGAUAGUGAACCAGUACCGUGAGGGAAAGGCGAAAAGAACCCCGGCGAGGGGAGUGAAAAAGAACCUGAAACCGUGUACGUACAAGCAGUGGGAGCACCCUUUGGGGUGUGACUGCGUACCUUUUGUAUAAUGGGUCAGCGACUUAUAUUCUGUAGCAAGGUUAACCGAAUAGGGGAGCCGGAGGGAAACCGAGUCUUAAUUGGGCGUUAAGUUGCAGGGUAUAGACCCGAAACCCGGUGAUCUAGCCAUGGGCAGGUUGAAGGUUGGGUAACACUAACUGGAGGACCGAACCGACUAAUGUUGAAAAAUUAGCGGAUGACCUGUGGCUGGGGGUGAAAGGCCAAUCAAACCGGGAGAUAGCUGGUUCUCCCCGAAAGCUAUUUAGGUAGCGCCUCGUGAAUUCAUCUCCGGGGGUAGAGCACUGUUUCGGCUAGGGGGCCAUCCCGGCUUACCAACCCGAUGCAAACUGCGAAUACCGGAGAAUGUUAUCACGGGAGACACACGGCGGGUGCUAACGUCCGUCGUGAAGAGGGAAACAACCCAGACCGCCAGCUAAGGUCCCAAAGUCA